rnacentral:rRNA from 1 species
CGGGUGGUAAUGCCGGAUGCUCCAUCACACCGCAUGGUGUGUUGGGAAAGCCUUUGCGGCAUGGGAUGGGGUCGCGUCCUAUCAGCUUGAUGGCGGGGUAACGGCCCACCAUGGCUUCGACGGGUAGCCGGCCUGAGAGGGCGACCGGCCACAUUGGGACUGAGAUACGGCCCAGACUCCUACGGGAGGCAGCAGUGGGGAAUAUUGCACAAUGGGCGCAAGCCUGAUGCAGCGACGCCGCGUGAGGGAUGGAGGCCUUCGGGUUGUAAACCUCUUUUGUUAGGGAGCAAGGCAUUUUGUGUUGAGUGUACCUUUCGAAUAAGCACCGGCUAACUACGUGCCAGCAGCCGCGGUAAUACGUAGGGUGCAAGCGUUAUCCGGAAUUAUUGGGCGUAAAGGGCUCGUAGGCGGUUCGUCGCGUCCGGUGUGAAAGUCCAUCGCUUAACGGUGGAUUCGCGCCGGGUACGGGCGGGCUUGAGUGCGGUAGGGGAGACUGGAAUUCCCGGUGUAACGGUGGAAUGUGUAGAUAUCGG